rnacentral:misc_RNA from 1 species
UGAUGUAUGAAAGAACCCAUCCAUUCCAAUAAAGUGUGUUGAUGUACAAAAGAACCCAUCCCCUUCAAACCACUUUUAAUUUCAUAUUUCAGACUGAAGCCACAUCACAACAAUCAUAAAUCCUAGUAAUUAUUCACAAACACAAGUAAUUAAGCAAAGAAGGAAAUUUCAUUUACAAUAAAAAGUUGCAGAAUAAGCAUAAAGAAAGACAUUACUUUCAACAAGACUCCAAGACUAGUAGAUUUCAAAGGUAUCAAACCACACACACCAGGCAAUUUGCUCAAGUAAUAGAGGUGCACAUUAUGAUCACAGAACACAAUGACAUGAUAUGUUCAGAAAGAAAGUGGAGUUUAGUUAAAAGGCCAUCCUGAAUAACCCAUCUGGUGGUUCUCUUCAUGUACGGUUGGUGAACUGCUUCCCGUGGUCCCAUCAUGGUUAGAGCUAGAACUAGAUGAGCGGAAUGGCCAAAAAUAAGAGAAUGGAUUCCGUCUUCCUUCCCUGCUAUUCUCUCUUCUGCUAUAAUUGUUGUUUCUACUUUGAGAACUUGAGCUCUGGUAACUGUGGCCACUACUUGAUCCUUGUGGUGGUAGCUCCUGACGACAAACAGGGCAUGAAUUAUGCUGAACUAGCCAUGGGACUAUGCAAUCUGAAUGGUAUACGUGGUUACAUGGCAUCAGCCUCGCUUCACUUCCCAACUCAAAUUUAUCUUUGCAAACUGGACAGUGUGAAUCAGAACGAAGAUGCCUCUGGGUAAUCUUAAUGGUAGGCAUUGCAUCAAUUGAUGAUCUGGAUGCUGGGGGAGGGCCCCGCCGGUCAUUAGCUGAAAGCUGUUCAAAUAAUUCUUCUAGUCCAGGGCCUAUAAAAUAAUCACCAGCAUUACCUCGUGCUAGAGCUAUUCCAGGAGCCCCAGGGAACAAAGCUUCAAACCCACCAUUUCCAGACACCCUAAAAGGAGUUUGGCCACCAAAAAUCAACAGAGGACCAAACCGUGGACUAUGUUCAGGAAUUGAACCCGAUCUCAUUCUGACGUCAUGGCUUCUGUCUGCCAAUCGCUGCCUCAUCAAGGCUGAGAAAGCUUCCAUAAGGCCAAAUCUUUGGUCACGAUCAUCGUGACCUUCCAAUUCAAAGAAAUCCAAUGGGCUGAAUUGCACCAUAUUGUCAAGUUCUUGAACAAAUCCUCCACUACAAUAGGGGCAAACUGCAUCUUGCCCAUGCAGACAAACUGGCCGCCUGCAUCUGUAACACCAGUGGGUAUUUCUACCACUUGACAUUCUCUCUUCUCCUAGCUCCGGUCUCAAAUCUCUAAACCUGACUCGCUGUAAGCACUCAGGCUAAAAUCGACACAUUCACUAUCAGUCUGCACAGAAAUGCAGCAACUGUACUGCCAUUAAAUCAAAGCAUUCCAACAAAGAAAUGUCAUGAAAAGUUGUGAACAAAUAUUAAUUGGUUUUGUACAUUAUUUUCAAAAUUAAAGGGUAAAUUAGUAAAUCCUUGAUAACGUUUAGCAAUAUAUUUGUGUCUUCACUCUUUUAAAAGAGAACUAAAAGUCCUCAAGAAUUAGUUCUCCAAAUGCUUUAUUCCUAGCAUUAAGAAACUGCUAACUGAACUAAAAUUGAAGAACAAAAUUACCAUCAUGUACUAUAACUGAAACUGCUAACUGUGCUAAAAAGGAAAAACAAAGUUACCAUCAUGUGCAACCUCAAAAACCUGAGUAUGAAACCCAUUGUGAUUGCUGACACAGAGCAAAAUAGUGACCAAAUCCCCACCAAAAUCACAAAAAUCUACAUUUCUCAUUUGCUUGAUUAAGAAACUACUCUACCUCAAUGCUCAAGCCAUCAAAUAGGUUCCCCAACCAUGAAACAUAAUAGGGCCCAAUUAAGUUACAAAUGCAAUAAACAGAGAAAAAUUGAAAAAAAGAAAAAGCAAAUAUCAUGGAAAAUAUAAAUUCAGCAAAAACAAGCAACAUUGCUUGUGCGAUGCUGUGAAUGUAUAAUUGUUUUUCAAUUUAUUUUAUUAAUAAUAGGUGCGAUAAUUAAUAGAAAUUAUUUUGUAAAUAUUUUUGAAAUCAAGUCUUAAAGUAACGUAUUUCCUAGAUAUAGUGGUGUUGUAUGGCUUACAUUAUUAAAUUUAAAGACAAUAUAGUUGAUUUAUCCUUAAUUUUGUUAUAUAUAUAUUGUAAUUUUUAAAUUCUUGCUACUUUGUCCAUUUCUAAAAGAAUUGAUAAAGUGUGUUUUACACUAAACUUGACGAUCUCUUUAUAUAUCAUUAAAAUUUUUCAUUAAAAUAUCUAAAUAAUAGCUUUUUAUGCAAAUAUUAAAUAAAUCCAACAAUAAAAGUCAAAUAAAUAAAAUUGAAAAAAAAGUAUCAAAA